GCCCCUGUAGUAUAGCCUGGAUAGAAUACGGGCUUGCGGAGCCUGUGACCGGGGUUCGAAUCCCCGCAGGGGCA
rnacentral:tRNA from 1 species